AAAAAAAAAAAAAAAUCUAAUUUGUGUUUUUGGAAAUUGAAGGAUGUUUCUUAGAUUGUUUACUAGUUUGAGGUAAUUAGAUGAUGAUUUGGAGGAUUUUUUUUAGCCAGAUAUAGUGUCUUUGAUGCUUGUUAACGGCGUUUCAGUGCUGUUGAAUUUAUGUUUUAUGCUUGAAUUAUAUGCGAUAAUACUGAACGAAUAAAUUUAGCUAUUGAUAAAA
rnacentral:misc_RNA from 1 species